UGUAGGUCCAAAUUGACCAGCUCAUCUUCAGGAGAUCACGUAUGAUUAGCUGGGUGAGGCUCCACCACCUGAACUGUAUGGGCUCCGCCGUAUGUCUGGUGAAUGCUUUGACAAAUCACGAGGGAAUUAUCCCAGGGUUGUAGGUACAUCUUCCAACAACUAAUUAAUUUUCAGUGUGUUUUAGCUAGAGUCCCUGGUAUUAGUAAAAAUAUUCACAUUUACUGGACUGCUCGUGUUCUGGGUAGUAUUUUUUCCUUUUGGGAAACCUGCAAACCUGUGUCUUGAUUCUUGAAUAAUCAUCAUCCUCUGCUUUCAACAGUAAUUAGGUCUUUUGGGAAUUCAUGGAAGCACUGUAAAGCUUCUCAGGGAACAUAACCUCCAAUUUGUUUGUUUUUUCUAAAACUGGUGCCACAUACACAAUCAAGAAGUUCUUGUUUAUAGUGGAUAUUACCACUUGUGAUUUUUGUAGUAAUAUUUCCAAUAUAAUUCUUAUGCUUAUGCAAUUUCCAUACCCUCUCAUGAUUGCACAUGACAACUAUUCUACUAUUACAGAGUAUGUUAUCUAACAGAUUGGUAAGGUUUUGACUUGCAGACAAGGUGAAUAAUGUCUCAUGUUACUGAAUAUUUUAAGCAUGAAUACACAGAACUAGGAAUACAUGCAUACUUUCAUCUAUUUAAGAAAAAACAUUUUCCUAUACGGAGUAAUAGGUCACCCUCGGAAAAGAAUGAAAUUGUAUUUUGUAUGAUUAUAAUGUCCAUGCCUUUCAUGUCUUGUCAUGUUUCCUCGUCUCAGAUGUUCUAGGAAAGUUGGUGGUUAAUGUUGUCCAGAUUGACCUGUUACCCAGCCCUCGUCCUUCAUCUAAACUCUCCACAUUAUCACAUUAAAUACGAUUUAAAGGCUGAACAUGAUCUACUCAAGCUUCUACAAUACGCCAUUUUUGUACAGCUGAGUUCUCACUUUUUUGCCUGCUAGAAUAGCUUGAGAAUCAAUGUGUUUUGGUACUAGGUUUGUGCCAGAAAAGCGUCUUGCGUGACAGCGAAAGAGUGAAAAAAGAAAGAGAUUCAUCAGCUAUGGAAUCUUACAGGUAUCGUAUUGAACAGAGGGGCUGUUCACAAAGCAUGGACCAUUUUCCAAUAUAUGUAGCUUUUUUUUCUAUUUCUAUAAGGAUAGCAUAAGUUUAAUUGGAGGUGAGCUGCUAGAUCAAACACAAUACCUUAUUUAUAUUCAGAUAUCUAAUUCCAUUGUCUGAUGGAUGAAGGACUCGGCUCGGUGGCUGGGAUGGGGUGUCGUCGGCGCGGUCAAGUUUUUUGCCAUGUACGGUCUCUCCUGCAACAUCUUGUGCUGUCCAUUCUCAGAGUUCGCGCUGGUUAUCCUUCUUUUCCGAUGUAAUUAGAGAGGUGAUGGUGUUGUAAGCUUUUGGGGAAGCUGCUGAUCAGGUGGACUCUAGGGACUAGAUCAGGUGAGGAUUAGGUGACGAGCUGAGAAGCAAUCUUUAUUUUGUAUCUUGUUCAUAUUCCAGGUUCAUAGCUUGGAAUCCGUAACACUUUUCUCAUCAGUGUUCUCUGUAUCUUCCAGUUUGUCUAGAACAAUAGCAUACACAUCAUACAAUCAUAUAUAUAUAUAGCUGUUCAGCAA